rnacentral:rRNA from 1 species
GAUGAACGCUAGCGGCAGGCUUAACACAUGCAAGUCGAGGGGCAGCAUAAAUAGUAGCAAUACUAUUGGAGGCGACCGGCGGACGGGUGCGUAACGCGUAUACAACCUUCCCUAAACAGGGGGAUAAUCUGGAGAAAUUCGGUCUAAUACCCCAUAACAUCAGAGCAGGCAUCUGUUUUGGUUAAACUUUCCGGAGGUUUAGGAUGGGUAUGCGUAGCAUUAGCUAGUUGGUGAGGUAACGGCCCACCAAGGCGACGAUGCUUAGGGGGACUGAGAGGUUAACCCCCCACACUGGUACUGAGACACGGACCAGACUCCUACGGGAGGCAGCAGUGAGGAAUAUUGGUCAAUGGGCGGAAGCCUGAACCAGCCAUGCCGCGUGCAGGAUGACGGCUCUAUGAGUUGUAAACUGCUUUUGUACGAGGGUAAAGUGGGCUACGUGUAGCCUUUUGAAAGUAUCGUACGAAUAAGGAUCGGCUAACUCCGUGCCAGCCGCCGCCGUAA